rnacentral:rRNA from 1 species
GACGAACGCUGGCGGCGUGCUUAACACAUGCAAGUCGUACGGUAAGGCCCUUUCGGGGGUACACGAGUGGCGAACGGGUGAGUAACACGUGAGUAACCUGCCCACAACUUUGGGAUAACGCUAGGAAACUGGUGCUAAUACUGGAUAUGUGCUCCUUCUGCAUGGUGGGGGUUGGAAAGCUCCGGCGGUUGUGGAUGGACUCGCGGCCUAUCAGCUUGUUGGUGGGGUAGUGGCCUACCAAGGCGGCGACGGGUAGCCGGCCUGGGAGGGUGACCGGCCACAUUGGGACUGAGAUACGGCCCAGACUCCGACGGGAGGCAGCAGUGGGGAAUAUUGCACAAAGAGCGCAAGCCUGAUGCAGCAACGCCGCGUGCGGGAUGACGGCCUUCGGGUUGGAAACCGCUUUCAGCAGGGACGAAGCUUUUUGUGACGGUACCUGCAGAAGAAGCACCGGCUAACUACGUG